rnacentral:lncRNA from 1 species
CAUUUUAGUAUUAUGUGGUUUAAAAUGUAUCACUUUUAUUUUUUAUGGUUUUUUUUUUUUUUGUUAUCUACUUUACUAAUUUUUUUCGUUAAUUCAGUGACAAAGUUAAAACUAAAAAUACUAAAGUAAAUAUUUAAUAAAUUAUAGGUGGGGUAUCUGAAAUUUUUAGUAUGUGAUUUAAUGAAAAGUUAAUAGAGUGAUUGAGGAAAAAAAUAAAAUUAUACAGUACUAAAUUGAUAUACAUAUCAAUUUAAUUUAGAGUAUCUAAACCAAGGUU